rnacentral:rRNA from 1 species
CCCUUAGAUGUCCUGGGCCGCACGCGCGCUACACUGAACGGAUCAGCGCGUUUUCCCUUCCCGAGAGGGACGGGUAACCUGCUGAACCCCGUUCGUGGUAGGGAUCGGGGCUUGCAAUUAUUCCCCGUGAACCAGGAAUGCCCAGUAAGUGCAAGUCAUAAGCUUGCGUUGAUUACGUCCCUGCCCUUUGUACACACCGCCCGUCGCUCCUACCGAUUGAAUGGUCCGGUGAAGCGUUCGGACCGCUUCCUUUGGACGGGCAACCGUCUGUUGGUCGUGGGAAGUUCGUUAAACCUUAUCAUUUAGAGGAAGGAGAANUCGUANCA